UACGUAGGGUGCAAGCGUUGUCCGGAAUCAUUGGGCGUAAAGAGCACGCAGGCGGUUUGGCAAGUCGGAUGUGAAAACCCGGAGCUCAACUCCGGACCUGCAUCCGAAACUGCCCGACUAGAGGUAGGUAGGGGAGAUCGGAAUUCCUGGUGUAGCGGUGAAAUGCGCAGAAUAUCAGGAGGAACACCGGUGGCGAAGGCGGCUCACUGGCCCGAUACUGACGCUGAGGAGCGAAAGCGUGGGGAGCGAACAGG
rnacentral:rRNA from 1 species